GGCCUCGUAGCUUAGUUGGCUAGAGCGUUGACUGCACUAAGGCCUCCCCCUUGCUGGCGUGGGUUCGAAUCCCAACGAGGUCG
rfam:Schistocephalus solidus strain NST_G2 genome assembly, scaffold: SSLN_scaffold0000386